AUGAUCAAAUUUGUUACGAUAUACUUCAAUUUCAUGGUGGUUUUAUUACCCUUUUAGCAUAUUUCGACACUUUUUAUCAAUAUUUUUAGCUGAUGUGAUAUUUUUAAUGCGAGCUUCAUGUGCUAAAGGAUAAUAAAAUCCCGUAAAGUUAGAGUGUGUCGUAGCAACUUUGAUAAUGGUUCAAAAGUACUGAUGCUGAUCGCAUAAACCAUUGUCCUUUUUAAACUUUUUUUUUUUUUUUUUAAAUUACUCAAAAAAUUUCCUCUUCACUUCAACCAAACAGGCCUUUACUCAUCAUUUCCUUUACAUUAUCCACUUUCACUCUUCACCAAAGAGAUAGAGAGAAUCGAAAAUGGCGGUUUCGGUAGCUUCUCUUACUUCAUCCUUCGCUUCACUUUCCUUCACUUCUCAAAUUUCUCAAAAACCCUACGCCUUAUCCCUCUCACAUUCGAAGCAAUUCCCCUUCUCUCUCACUUCCAAAACCCCUAAACUCAUCGUAUCAGCUUCCGUCGCCGAAGCACCUUCGGCAACGGAGGAACUGGAAACGAGGGAGGAUCUUUUAAAGCUAGUGAAAAGUAGACUACCUGGAGGUUUCGCUGCACAACCAUUUUUUGGAACUGGUAGACGUAAAAGUGCUAGUGCUCGUGUUGUUGUUCAGGAAGGUUCUGGAAUGAUUGUUAUUAAUUAUCGUGAUGCUAAGGAAUAUCUUCAAGGAAAUCCAUUGUGGAUUCAAUAUGUUAAAACUCCAAUGGCCACUUUAGGAUAUGAAGCUAGCUAUGACAUUUUUGUCAAGGUGGAAGGUGGUGGUCUUUCUGGGCAGGCUCAAGCAAUCUCCCUUGGCAUUGCUCGUGCACUCCUAAAGGUCAGUGAGAGCCAUAGAAAACCACUGAGGGACGAGGGUCUACUAACUAGAGAUGCCAGAGUUGUGGAGCGGAAGAAAGCUGGUCUCAAGAAGGCUCGCAAGCGUCCACAAUUUUCCAAGCGUUGAGUCACAUUGUCUUUGCUCUCCCUUUCUAGGUUGGUACUUACUCACUGUGGCAGCAAUUGGUAGAAAGAUUUGUUGGUUUAUUGACCCUGAUUGGGGAAAGAGCGUAUCGAUGAUCUCAUAGACUGUUGAAGAUCAGGAAAUGUUUCAGAUUUAUCACUCAAAUGAUUCUUGUAAAUUUUGUAUCACUCCUGACUGAGAAUUACAAUUUCUGUUGAAGUUAUUUUUUGAGUUCAGUUUCUUGUAACUGGUCUAAGUUUCAAUUCACAUGGUAAACGUACAUUCGACGGUUUAAUAUAAUUCUGGAGAUUUUUUGUGCC